UCGGGAAUUUUGGGCAAUGGGCGAAAGCCUGACCCAGCAACGCCGCGUGAAGGAUGAAGUAUUUCGGUAUGUAAACUUCGUAAGAAUAGGAAGAAUAAAUGACGGUACUAUUUGUAAGGUCCGGCUAACUACGUGCCAGCAGCCGCGGUAAUACGUAGGGACCAAGCGUUGUUCGGAUUUACUGGGCGUAAAGGGCGCGUAGGCGGUGUGUCAAGUCAGUUGUGAAAUCUCCGAGCUUAACUCGGAACGGUCAACUGAUACUGUCACACUAGAGUACAGAAGGGGCAAUCGGAAUUCUUGGUGUAGCGGUGAAAUGCGUAGAUAUCAAGAGGAACACCUGAGGUGAAGACGGGUUGCUGGGCUGACACUGACGCUGAGGCGCGAAAGCCAGGGGAGCAAACGGGAUUAGAUACCCCGGUAGUCCCUGAGCGGGCUGGCAAGGCGCAU
rnacentral:rRNA from 1 species